rnacentral:lncRNA from 1 species
AUGCUUGCAGCACAAUUAGUUAUAGCUGAGGCUGAUGUAUGUGCCCCUCUUGGUCUGGGUGGAUUGUGUUUGCCUGCAUAUUGCACAUCUUCUGUCAUGGAUGUAAGAGGCAGCAGAUGCUCAGUUGGAAGUGGCUUUGAACUGUUCUCUCUGCCCAUGCCAGAGAUCCCCAGCCUGCUUUACAUGGAGAUAAUCACAUAUGCAGCACACUGGAUGAGUCAAUGCCAUACUUCGGAAAAGAAAAAGUAUACUGUAAAAGUACAGGGAGAUUAUAAGAGAAAAAUCUGAUAACUUUUGAUCUGAAGAUCUCAUUAAGAUCAUAAAAAGCAAAAAGAAACAAUAAAAUACCACACGAUCAUCUCA